UCCAGACUCCUACGGGAGGCAGCAGUGGGGAAUAUUGGGCAAUGGGCGCAAGCCUGACCCAGCAACGCCGCGUGAAGGAAGAAGGCUUUCGGGUUGUAAACUUCUUUUCUGAGGGACGAUAGUGACGGUACCUCAGGAAUAAGCCACGGCUAACUACGUGCCAGCAGCCGCGGUAAUACGUAGGGGGCAAGCGUUAUCCGGAUUUACUGGGUGUAAAGGGAGCGUAGACGGCAUGGCAAGUCUGGUGUGAAAGGCAGGGGCUCAACCCCUGGACUGCAUUGGAAACUGUCAGGCUGGAGUGCAGGAGAGGUAAGUGGAAUUCCUAGUGUAGCGGUGAAAUGCGUAGAUAUUAGGAGGAACACCAGUGGCGAAGGCGACUUACUGGACUGUAACUGACGUUGAGGCUCGAAAGCGUGGGGAGCAAACAGGAUUAGAUACCCGAGUAA
rnacentral:rRNA from 1 species